rnacentral:rRNA from 1 species
UACGGAGGGUGCAAACGUUGCUCGGAAUCACUGGGCGUAAAGGGUGCGUAGGCGGGUUUUUAAGUCAGGGGUGAAAUCCUGGAGCUCAACUCCAGAACUGCCUUUGAUACUGAAGAUCUUGAGUCCGGGAGAGGUGAGUGGAACUGCGAGUGUAGAGGUGAAAUUCGUAGAUAUUCGCAAGAACACCAGUGGCGAAGGCGGCUCACUGGCCCGGUACUGACGCUGAGGCACGAAAGCGUGGGGAGCAAACAGG